GCCUGCAGUAGCACUCUGAUGUGAAGGACAGAGAAAUUGUGGGCGAGUUGACAAAUCAUAAAAAGAAUGGUAUAAAAAUUAAGUCAUAAGUGCCGCUUCGCGAUAACGUUUUCCGACGGCCCUGCUGUAGACUACCUAUCUGUUGCAUUUCUACUCUGCCACUUGGAAGGUCGCUUUAAGUUUUCAAAAAAGAAGACGCAAGUUUUCACGAUGGGCACAAUGACAGAAAAAAAUACGAUAAAGCGAAGUGUGUCAAUGCUCGCGCCUCAUCCGCCUGCGGGGAGACCAGACACCUGCACCCAAGCGUCGCACUUUGCUUUCGUUCUCGUUUAAAAGGAACAUUAUGCAAGAUUGACUUUUCUUAGUUGAACCCGAUGGCUGAAUCUUGCGGAGACCUCCCAAACACCCCAGAGCUUCCUGCCCUGCUUUGCUGAUGCUGCAACGGUACUGUGCUGGACCUCUCUCCUCUUCAGGGAAGCUGUACUCUUGUAUGGAUGUAUAAAAUACUGCCAACUGUAUUGCUAAAGUGCAAACUUUCAAAAUAUCCACGUAUUGCUUCUCCCUCCUGUUGGAAGUCAACUGUAGCCUGUUCUUGUGUGUAUGUAGGAAAUACCACCUACUGUAACUGUAUUGCUAGAGUCAAAGCUUGCGGAAUUUCUCCAAGACCCCAUCCUCCUUGUUUCCCUGUUAAUGUUUUUUUUUUUUUUAUCACUAAUGAUUUGGUUUCUGAAUUCUACAUUAGACCAGACCACAACCUCUGCUGUUGAAUUGUUUUUAAUGUGACAGACAUGCAUGCAAAAGUGAAGUGAGAUAAAGGACCGUUUCUUUCUCUCUCCAACCCGUGACCUAGGUAACCUGUGACUUCCCUACAUCCUACUUUCGUAACAAGCUGAUCUCACGCCAGGCCAUCGCGUUGCUCUUCAAGCCACAAAUAGCCUGCAACACCUAUGUGCAGACAGUGACCUCUUCUGGUAGAAUGAAGACAAGUUGAAUGACCUCAUACACACUGAACAAAACACUCAAUUGCUCCCCCCAGAAGCUGGUUUCCUACGGUGGUUUAGAUGUGUGUUCGCUGUUCUAGCACCAUAUGAAAUCAGUGUUCUGGAAGGUAGAACAGCAGCUCAUGGAAACGGACCAAGCCAUAGUUAAGAAAGUGAGAAAUUGACAUAGUGUGUUGUUGCAUGUGUUUUGUCUGUGUAUACGGUAGGUACAAUGACAAGUGUUCUUUGAGUGGUUUUCUAAUAGUGUUCUUACUGUUUGGAGCUACAUUCUGUAUUGACUUCUAAUUUGUUAGUACACCAAAUAUAAUUGUGCCUCCAUCAGUAUGUAUGACUCUAUUAUUUACAGGGAAGGAUUAAUUCAGGGGAUUACCGGGGUUGAAGCCCUUGGGCCUAAAAAAAAUCUAAUAAUAAAUAUAUACAGUACCAGUCAAAAGUUUGGACACACCUACUCAUUUCAGGGUUUUUUUUAUUUUUACUAUUUUCUACAUUGUAGAAUAAUAGUGAGACAUCGAAUCUAUGAAAUACCACAUAUGGAAUCAAGUAGUAACCAAAAAACUGCUACACAAAUCAAAAUAUGUAUUAUAUUUGAGAUUCUUCAAAGUAACCACCCUUUGCCUUGAUGACAGCUUUGCACAAUCUUGGCAUUCUCUCAACCAGCUUCAUGAGGUAGGUCACCUGGAAUGGAUAUCAAUUAACAGCCAUGCCUUGUUAAUUUGUGGAAUUUCUUUCCUUUUUAAUGCGUUUGAGACAAUCAGAUGUGCUGUGACAAGGUAGGGGUGGUAUACAGAAAAUAGCCCUAUUUAGUAAAAUACCUAGUCCGUGUUAUGGCAAGAACAGCUUAAAUAAGCAAAGAGAAACGUCAGUCCGUUACUUUAAGACAUAAAGGUCAGUCAAUCCGGAAAUGUCAAGAACUUUGAAAGUUUCUUCAAGUGCCGUCGCAAAAACCAUCAAGCGCUAUGAUGAAACUGGCUCUCAUGUGGACCGCCACAGGAAAGGAAGACCCAGAGUUACUUCUUCUGUAGAGGAUAAGUUCAUAGUAAAAAUUAAGAAAAACCCUUGAAUGAAUAGGUGUGUCCAAACGUUUGACUUACUGUAUGUGUUGGCACCCUAGGGACACGCAAUACUCAUGAAGCACAUUUUUUACUUUCAUUAUUAUUAAAAAACACAAAAUACCAUCAAAAGCCUCCAACAUUUUUAAAAAUACUGCGAUACGAUAUUUUGUCCAUAUCGCCCAGCCCUCCACCGGGCUUGAGGGCACACACUUUGCUGUUGGCUUAGAUUGAAGAGGUGGCAAUAUCGUCCACUAUCACCCUCAGUCAUCUUCCAUCCAUGUUUUCAGACCCAGGUGGCUUGUAAUUGUUGACAGACAACAAAACAUUUUUUUUUUUACCUCUUCCACACUCACUUUACGGAAUUCAAUAUUACAAUGUAUUCCAUAAUUUGGUCUGUUAUGGAUGGAUAGGUUCAGCGUUUGUUGGCAAUAUCAGUGGGUUUUGUGAUGAAUGAGCCAUCAGAUUCAUUGAAGGAGUUUGACUUUUUGCCCAUAGUGUAAUUUAAGGUGCUCCAAAGCUUUUUGCUAAGCUUCUUUAUAUAAUUUCUUUGUUUCAUAUCACAGUUUUUUUUGUUUAGAUUAGUCCCGUGAUUUCUCAGUUUUAAAGUACAUUUGACAAUCAGCUGUUCAGCCAGACUUAUUCGCCAUUCAUUCUGCCUUGUCCCUCUCAACCAUACAAUUUUUAAAUUCCUCAUCAAUCCACAGGGAUUUAAACAGUUUUUACAGACAUUUUCUUAAUGGAUGAAUUCUUAUUAGUAACUGGAAUAAGCAAUUUCAUAAAUAUGUCAAGUGCAGUGUCUCGUUGUUCCUCAUUAUACACAACAUACCAGCCAAUAUUCAUUUAUCUUCAACAUAUGAAUCAGUACAAAACCUCUUGUAUGAUCUCUUAUACACUAUAUUAGGCCCAACCUUUGGAACUUUGGUUUUUCUAGAUAUGGCUACCAUAUUAGGAUCACUACAUCAGAUAAAUGUGGAUACUGCUUUAGAGCAGAUUUCUGCAGCAUUAGUAAAGAUGUGAUCAAUAUAUUUGGAUGAUUUCAUUCCUGUGCUGUUUGUAUCGUGGUAUAUGAUAUCCCGAACCUGGUUUCAGGGACUGGUUAUAGUAUGAAGCUUGAAAGCCAUUCAAUAUUUGGGUCACCCUGAACAAAUUACCUCUCUGUUGAUAUCACACACACACACAUUAUCAAACAUUUCACACAUACAAUGCUCAAAAAAAUAAAGGGAACACUUAAACAACACAAUGUAACUCCAAGUCAAUCACACUUCUGUGAAAUCAAACUGUCCACUUAGGAAGCAACACUGAUUGACAAUGAAUUUCACAUGCUGUUGUGCAAAUGGAAUAGACAACAGGUGGAAAUUAUAGGCAAUUAGCAAGACACCCCCAAUAAAGGAGUGGUUCUGCAGGUGAUAACCACAGACCACUUCUCAGUUCCUAUGCUUCCUGGCUGAAUUUUUGGUCACUUUUGAAUGCUGGCGGUGCUUUCACUCUAGUGGUAGCAUGAAACGGAGUCUACUACCCACACAAGUGGCUCAGGUAGUGCAGCUCAUCCAGGAUGGCACAUCAAUGCGAGCUGUGGCAAGAAGGUUUGCUGUGUCUGUCAGCUUAGUAUCCAGAGCAUGGAGGCGCUACCAGGAGACAGGCCAGUACAUCAGAAGACGUGGAGGAGGCCAACAACCCAGCAGCAGGACCGCUACCUCCGCCUUUGUGCAAGGAGUAGUAGGAGGAGCACUGCCAGAGCCGUGCAAAAUGACCUCCAGCAGGCCACAAAUGUGCAUGUGUCUGCUCAAACGGUCAGAAACAGACUCCAUGAGGGUGGUAUGAGGGCCCGACGUCCACAGGUGGGGGUUGUGCUUACAGCCCAACACCGUGCAGGACGUUUGGCAUUUGCCAGAGAACACCAAGAUUGGCAAAUUCGCCACUGGCGCCCUGUGCUCUUCACAGAUGAAAACAGGUUAACACUGAGCACAUGUGACAGACGUGACAGUCUGGAGAUGCCGUGGAGAAUGUUCUGCUGCCUGCAACAUCCUCCAGGAUGACCGGUUUGGCGGUGGGUCAGUCAUGGUGUGGGGUGGCAUUUCUUUGGCAUUUCCUCCAUGUGCUCGCCAGAGGUAGCCUGUGCCAUUAGGUACCGAGAUGAGAUCCUCAGACCCCUUGUGAGACCAUAUGCUGGUGCUGUUGGCCCUGGGUUUUUGUGUGAUUUUGUUGUGAGCACAUUCAACUAUGUAAAGAAAAAAGUAUUUAAGAAGAAUAUUUCAUUCAUUCAGAUCUAGGAUGUGUUAUUUUAGUGUUCCCUUUAUUUUUUUGAGCAGUGUAUUAUCCAGAUACUGACUGUUAGCACUUGUUGAUCUAUAGCAAUUUCACACAAUAAUAGCUGUGAGUCUUUCUGGAUACGUCUCUAAGAGCUUUGCACGCCUAGAUUCUUUUCAAAAUUCUUCAAGCUUUUUUUUUAAAUUGGUCGUUGAUCAUUGCAAGACAAUCAUUUUCAAGUCUUGCCAUAGAUUUUCAAGCAGGUUUAAGUCAGAACUGUAACUCGGCCACUCAGGAACAUUCACUGUCUUCUUGGUAAGCAACUCCAGUGUAGACUUGGUCUUGUGUUUUAGGUUAUUGUCCUGCUGAACGGUGAAUUCAUCUCCCAGUGUCUGGUGGAAACCUGACUGAACCAGAUUUUCCUCUAGGAUUUGGCCUGAGCUUAGCUUCAUUCCAAUUCAUUUUUAUACUGAAAAACAGUCCUUAAAGAUUACACUAUAAGCAUACCCAUAACAUGAUGCAGCCACCACUAUGCUUGAUAUGGAGAAUGGUACUCCGUAAUAUGUUGUAUUGGAUUUGCCGCAAACAUAAAAUGUUGUAUUCGGGACAAAAAGGGAAAUUCUUUGCAACAUUUUUUGCAGCAUUACUUUAGUGCCUUAUUGCAAACAGGAUGCAUGUUUGGAAUAUUUUUAUUCUGUACAGGCUUCCUUCUUUUUACUCUGUCAAUUAGGUUAGUAUUGUAGAGUAACUACAAUGUUGUUAAAACAAUCAGUUUUCUCCCAUCACAGCCAUUAAACGCUGUAAUUGCUUUAAAGUCACCAUUGGCUUCCUGGUGAAAUCCCUGAGCAGUUUCCUUCUCCGGCAACUGAGUUAGGAAGGACGCCUGUAUCUUUGUAGUGACUGGAUGUAUUGAUACACCGCCCAAAGUGUCAUUAAUUACUUCACCAUGCUCAAAGGGCUAUUCAUUGUCAGAUUCCCCCCCAUCUAUAAAUAGCUGCCCUUCUUUGUGAGGCACUGGAAAACAUCCCUGGUCUUUCUGGUUGAAUCUGUGUUUGAAAGUCACUGCUAGACUGAGGGACCUUACAGAUAAUUGUAUGUGUGGGGUACAGAGAUGAGGUAGCCAUUCAAAAAUCAUCAUUAAACACUAUUUUGCACGCAGAUUGAGACCAUGCAACUUAUUAUGUGACUUGUUUAGUAAAUGUUUACUCCUGAACUUAUUUAGGCUUGCCAUAACAAAAGGCGUUUACUACUUAUUCACUCAAGACAUCUCAGCUUUUCAUUUUUUAUUAUUUUGUAAAUAUUUUGAUAAACAUAAUUCCAAUUUGACAGUAUGGGUUAUGGUGUGUAAGCCAGUGACACAAAAUAUGAAUAUAAUCCAUUUUAAAUUCAGGCUGUAACACAACAAAAUGUGGGGAAAAGCCAUAGGUCAGAAUACUUUCUGAAGGCACUGUAUGCUAAUGUGACCUCAGUAAAAAAAGAACGUCCUCUCACUGUCAACUGCGUUUAUUAUCGGCAAACAUAACGUGUAAAUAUUUUUAUACACAUUAGAUUCAACAACUGAGACAACCUUGUGACUAACAGAAAUGGAAUAAUGUUUCCCUGAACAAAGAGGGGGUCAAAAUCAAAAGUAACAGUCAGUAUCUGGUGUGGCCACCAGCUGCAUUAAGUACUGCAGUGCAUCUCCUCCUCAUGGACUGCACCAGAUACGCCAGUUCUUGCUGUGAGAUGUUACCCCACCUAUAGGGAGGAGGUCUCUGACUCUAGAUUUGUGCUAUGGGACAAUACCAAAGGCUUUCUCUGCCACCAUCAGACCCCCCUGGAGACAUCAGACCACGAUGUGGUCUACCUCAGGCCAACCUACUGUCGCCUCCUGGAGAGGGAGAAACCCACAGUUAAAACUACUUCAGGCCAACCUACUGCUGGCUCCUGGAGAGGGAGAAACCCACAGUUAAAACUACCUCAGGCCAACCUACUGUCGGCUCCUGGAGAGGGAGAAACCCACAGUUAAAACUACCUCAGGCCAACCUACUGUCGGCUCCUGGAGAGGGAGAAACCCACAGUUAAAACUACCUCAGGCCAACCUACUGUCGGCUCCUGGAGAGGGAGAAACCCACAGUUAAAACUACCUCAGGCCAACCUACUGCCGGCUCCUGGAGAGGGAGAAACCCACAGUUAAAACUACCUCAGGCCAACCUACUGUCGGCUCCUGGAGAGGGAGAAAUCCACAGUUAAAACUACCUCAGGCCAAUGACAACAGUAUCACCUGUCUCCAGGGGUGAUUUGACUGUACUAUGUGGGAGGUAUUUGGUCUCCAGGGGUGAUUUGACUGUACUAUGUGGGAGGUAUUUGGUCUCCAGGGGUGUUUUGACUGUACUAUGUGGGAGGUAUCUGGUCUCCAGGGGUAAUUUGACUGUACUAUGUGGGAGGUAUUUGGUCUCCAGGGGUGUUUUGACUACUAUGUGGGAGGUAUUUGGUCUCCAGGGGUGUUUUGACUGUACUAUGUGGGAGGUAUUUGGUCUCCAGGGGUGUUUUGACUGUACUAUGUGGGAGGUAUUUGGUCUCCAGGGGUGUUUUGACUGUAGUAUGUGGGAGGUAUUUGAGGACAGCAGCUCUAAUCUUGAUGAACUCACAGAUGUGAUUUCAGGCUAUAUAAACUUCUGUGUUGAGUCAGUUGUGCCUACUAAGACCUGUAAAAUCUUCCCUAACAACAAGCCUUGGGUAUCAAAACAUCUAAAAUCACUACUUGAUAGGAAGACCAGUUUAUGCUUGGGGUGAUAGACAGGCUUUAAGAGAUGUACAACGUGAGAUCAAAAGACAGAUACUGGUGGACAAGGAGGCACACAAGUAAAGGGUGGAGAGGAGCCUCUCCUCAGGAAACUCAGGGGUGGCUGGCAAGGGAUUAAAUCCAUGGCUAAUGCCCCCCACAUAGGCAGGGGAAAAACCAGUGCUGACCUUGGGGGAUAUGGCUAAUGAACUGAAUGUUUUCUUCUCAAGAUUUGAAUCAGACAACUUUGUGUCGGAGGUAAAAACAAAUGGAUGCAUCAUUUCAAAUGUUUGAGAGAGUUGUUGUUAAACAAUCUGAUGUUUUAAAGUUGUUCAGGGGAUAUAACACAUACAAAAGCCCAGGCAAAAUAAGUGGUUAUGUGUUAAAGCACUGUGCUGAACAAAUUGGCUGGUGUUUUUAUAGACAUUUUCAAAUGCUCCUUCGACCAGCAACACGUUCCAGUAUUGUGGAAAAAAUCAAUAAUUAUACCAAUUCCUAAAGCAUCUAAUCCCUCUGUGCUGAAUGACUACCACCCUGUCGCCUUGACAUCCUUAGUAAUGCAAUGCCUUGAGAAAAUAGUUGAAAAGUAAUAUUCUCAGUGUCACCCAGAAGCUUUUCGACCCAUUUCAGUUUGCCUAUCAGCCUAGCAGAGGAGUUGAUGAUGCCAUUCUUAACCUCCUUAACAUGGUCUAUAGACAUCUAGAGGGUGCUAAAUCCCAUGUCAGGGUUCUGUUUGUUGACUUUUCUUCUGCCUUCAACACAAUCCAUCCAGCCUUACAUUCUGGCACAGAGACUCAUUCGGGACUUCUCCUUAGGUGGGGGGGCUGGUUUUAUGGCUGUUGGACUCAAAAUAGAUCCCCACGUGUCGGAUAUACGCAAUAACAACACAGGCUCUCCUCAGGGAGGUGUUUAGUCCCCACUUCUGUACAUCUUGUACACUAACAGUUGUACUAGUUCCCAUACUGACAGACACCUUUUAAUGUAGACUGUAUUAUAUUGACUCUGUUUUACAAAUCUUUUAUUGAGAGUAUUUUAACUUUUUGUAUUGUUUGUUGGUUUGGCAAUGCCACUGUCAGCCAGAGAAAUAUGCUGGGAAGGAUUAUUGCCACAGCAAGCAAGGUACUUGGAGUCAAACAGACAGGCCUGGAUGAGAUCUUUAAGGUCAGGGCCGUCCGUAAGGCUCACAAAAUCAUUUUAGACCCAAGCCACCCCCUGUACCUGGACUUUGAACAACUCCCCUCUGGGCGCAGGUAUAGGGCACCCCUCAGCAGGAAAAACAGAACGAGACAAUCAUUUGUGCCAGGUGUGAUAUCCCUCCUAAAUAGCUCGGGCGAAUGUUCCCAUCGACUCCGUAAGGCCAGCAGCCUAGUCUUUUCUUUUUUUUUAUGUUUUAUUUCUUACUUCUUCUUAUUAUUAUUUUUUGGUACGUAACUGCUAUGAACGUUGUAUUGUCAAUUUUGUUUUGUAUUUAAAUGCCACUUUAAAUGUGUACAUGACACUGCAACAAAAUUUCCCCAUGGGGACAAUAAAGUCAGUAAGUACGCAAAUUGGAGUGGGUCUAGGGUUUCUGGGAUAAUGGUGUUGAUGUGAGCCAUUACCAGCAUUUCAAAGCACUUUAUGGCGACAGAGGUGAGUGCUACGGGUGAGUAGUCAUUUAGGCAGGUUGCCUUUGUGUUCUUGGGCACAGGGACUAUGGUGGUCUUCUUGAAGCAUGUUGGUAUUACAGACUCAAUCAGGGACAUGUUGAAAACGUCACCUGCCAGUUGGUCAGCACAUGCCCGGAGCACACGUCCUGGUAAUCCGUCUGGCCCCGCAGCCUUGUGUAUGUUGACCUGUUUAAAUGUCUUACCCGCGUCGACUACGGAGAGCGUGAUCACACAGUCGUCCGGAAAAAGCUGAUGCUCUCAUCAUGCAUGCCUCAGUGAAGCUUGCCUCGAAGCGAGCAUAGAAAUUAUUUAGCUCAUCUGGUAGGCUCGUGUCACUGGGCAGCUCGCGACUGUGCUUCCCUUUGU